AUGGUAGGAAAUUCAUAUCCUGAAUCAUUGAUACCUUUAUUUUAUAACUUGCUGCCAUUGAUUUUUUUUCUCUUUUAUUUUCUCCGAUUCAGUGCUGCCUGCUGUGAAAGACGGGAUGGCUGCAUGUGCGAGGGCCUGACAUCAUCUAUCAGGGUGGUGCCUGCAUGGAAGCCAAACAAAACUCUCUGGAGCUUUCCGAAGACUCGGGUUGCCUGUGGAGAGAUGACUGUGAUGGCUGCCAAACUGAUUCGAGGCUUGUUGAUGCAGAGGAGGUGACUGCUGGUGCCCGUGUCUGGUGUAGACUACUCCGCUCCUUGGUGAACAGCCCUAAAGCCAUAGAUUUCAUUUGAUCUUUGCAAAGGCUAACAUCUGUCUGCUGUCAUUUUAGUAAGAUUGAUGACAGGCUGGGAUAGGGGAGGAGGAGGGGGAGAACAGUGGGAGGAAGGCAGGUCCCCGCAGCCCUGAUGGCUGUGGCCAAGCCUGCCCGGAGUCACUGGCCCAGACCCUCCGGUCAGCUGCAGCAGUGGCAGGGAACCGCUCCUGCGCUGCUCCAGCAGUAAUUGCACUGGGUUGGUACAGCAGAUUGUGGGAACUCGGAGACAUAAAGGCAGCAUUUUGCACCUUAUAUAUCUUAAUAGAUUAUUCACGUUGCAAGCAACACAGAGCGAAAUGUUAUGACAACCAUAAGAAUGUAGUUUACUGUGGCUUAAUGUGCCUGGGCAGUGCAGGGUAAAGCCAUCAAAAAGAUAUAUUUAAUUUUUUUUUAAGUUUCCGAGAGAAACUAACUGAUGUGGACAUGCAGCUAUUUCUCUAUAGAACCCUGACUUUUGGCAAACUCUUUCCAGGCUCUAAUAGAAAAUGCUUACUCUUUUUAUUAGUAGCAGUAUCGCAGUGCCAAAUGAAAAAUCAUAUGCUUCCCCACUUGGAAGCUUUCUUGCAAGCUGAUGUGUGAGCUGAUGUAACAGGAAUCUUCUACAAAGCACCCAUGUCCCAAACAGGGCAGCCAGUUGCUGGCUGUUGGAUGCAAUACUCCUCAGGAAAAAGAAGAAAAAAAAAAAAAAAACAACAAAAAAAAACUUUCAUACUUGGGCAGGAUGGAGUCCUUGUGUCUUUUUCCAUGAAUGAAUGAGUGAAUGAAUGACUAUCAAUGCCGAAAUUUGAUCUUGCUGCAAUCCUAGACAUUUGGGUUUCACCAGGCGUGUAUACAUAUACCAGAAGGAUCUCAGUGUUUUGGGAAAGAACUGCAGUGUGCUGUGGAGGAAAUACACGGGGAUAGGGUUAACUGCUGUUGUGGAUUGGGAAGCAAGAAAUGUAGCUGUGAAUCUUACUCAUGACAUUAGACUGGAAACCAUAGAGGCAAGGGCUAGAUGCAGCCUUCAUUUUAGAGCACAGAGGUUCCUCUGUGGGAGCCGGAGGGGAGAUGGGUGCAUAAGCUGGUAACUUUAACAACCUGGAAUUCAAAAUAUUCCUGACCUAAAACUCCAGGCUGAAACAUGUAUGGGCUUGGGGGAAAGCUCAGCUCCAGCCUUGGCUCAGGCCCCUCCUGUUGAGAUUUACAGUGCUGAGACUGAUGCCAUGCUGAUUUUAACCACUCGGCGUCCCAUCAUGAUGGCUGACAAAAUGACAUGACAUUAGUAUGGGAUUUCAGCUGCAGGCAGGGAAAAUGUAGUUUAGAGUAUGAAAACCAGCUGUGCUCUUAUUCAUUCGGGCUGCAGGUCAGGGAAGAACAGAGACUCCCACCCAAACCAGAGGGCUAGCUUGGGCCACGCAUGAACUGUGUGUUUGGGUGAGCACGGGUGGCUGGAUUGAUAAAGAGUGACCCAGAGAGAUAAAUACACAUACAGAGGAAAAUAAGAAGAGAUAAUGUAUUGGCGUAAGUUGCAGUAUAUUUCCUCCUAGUGAUGAAAGACUAAGAGUGAGUUAUAGAUCUUUCCUCAUGAUAAGAACAGAUAUUUCUUUCCAAAUCAUUUAUAUCUAUAAGAUACUGAGAUAUUAUUUAGGCCUGUGUGUGUUUUCAGCGAUAGAUAAUGGUGGAAGGUGCUACAGUGCUGGUGCAGAGACACUGAAGGGAACAGAGUCAGCAGUGGCCAAGUCCCUCCAGAUAUGAGUUCUGCCAAGCAUCAUAGGGCUGAACAAGACUUAAACGUGCUCCAAACAAGACCAAUGCACUCUUUUAGAGAGGGUGGAGGUGGAGGGUGGGAGAAGUGUGCUCGCCUUCCCACCCAGCUCGCCAGCUGGGGGCCUUCACUGCUUACCUGGUGGCAGAGAGGCUUGUGCAGGGAGCUUCCAUUAAUUCAUCCCUUGACAUCUCCAUCACAGGCGUUUAGCAGCUGGAAGUGUGGUAAAACAUACCGCUGGAGGUUUCAUCCAUAGCUCUUGCGGAUGAGGGAUUAAUUUUUAUUGUAAAGAGUUCAGAAGAAAGAGGGCAUAUUUAUUCUAGCGUCGCAGGUAAACAUGAUAUGGCUAUUUAUACAUAACCAGAGUUUAAAUCUUCAUUUGUUCAGGUCCUUAAUGUAUGAGCAGCAAUUGCUCUAAGUGUUACAAGAUCUGUUUACUGCUCUGGGAUAUUAUUAACUUUAAAAAAAGGAUGCCUGUGUGGAGAAAACAACCUUACCUGACAACUUUGAUGUAAGAAGAGCCUUCUCCCUUUGACUGCUCCAGCGACGCUGCGGCGUGAUGUGGGUGCGCUCAACCCUUUCAUCCCUUCAGUCAGUGCUAUAUAACAUUUACAUGUCUCAGAAAUAUGACAUAUGUACAGUACACGUGUGAGAGGGUGGGUAGACUAGUCUUUCAAAGAUUAUUCAAAAAAGCAGGAUGUUUUUGUCAACCGGGAGAGAUUAGAGUACUUUAUUUUACAGCUAGAGCAGAGAAAUAUUUUUCAUGUGAUUAGAAAAAAACGUUAUUAUUAAAAUACUUAUUUACUUAUUCAUUUAAAUUAAUGCAGACCUAUUCCUGACCGGAAGUGGUACUGAGGGGCCAGGCUGCGCCCCGUGAGGGGGCCGCCGGAACCCUCUGGAACCUUCUGGAAGCGGCCGGGGCCUCUCCUCACAGAGCCCCACGGCCGAUGCCUGGAGCCCUGCAGAGCCCAGGAGGACGGAUCCUGUCCCAGGGAGCACAAAGGAGCUGCUUUGUGAACGCCAGCAGGUAUCUCCCAAACGAAGGAGGCCUUAGGUGGGCGGAGAGGGUAACAAAUGCAGGGAGCUGUGAGAUGCUUGUGGGUCAAGGGGACUCAUGUUUCUGCUGAGCAGUCGGGUGUAUCUUCACCUUCUGUAACCUCAGCUGGAGCCUUUGCUGUCAUGCUUUCCCCCUGCUAAACCCUUGCUUUUGAACCUUAAGAGAAAUCUUUACGGUGGUCAGUAAAUCCUAAUGUUGUCCUUGUUCUGUUUUAUGAGAUUUCCAGUGACACGUGGCUUCGGAGAUUUGCCACUUGGUGGAUCUAACAGCUCUGAGGACAUAGUGGACUUGGGAUGGGGCAAUAUCAGCUCUCCCUGUUUUGUGUAAAUGAACUUCAGAUUCUCUAUGUUAACAUGCUAAUAAGGAAAUCUUGUGUUCCCACACUGUUCUUCUCACACUGCUGACCUGACCUCUUUAAUCCUAGCUUUCCUGAAGGAAAAGCUGAUCCAUCAGGCCUCCUGUAUCUAAAAUGGGAUGAAAGGAAAUGAUGGACCUAUUUCUAUGCUGGUGUUUCUCUGGUACCUCAAGCUGUCUUGUUCUUUUUGUAUUCAUCUCUCAUUUCCCUGGGAAGGAAAAAAAAGGAAGGAAAAAAAAAACUAGAUGUGAGGGCUCAAAUCACUGAAGAUGAGAAACAGCAAAAGGAAAUAAAGAGGUCACACACCUAAGUUAGCUUAUGAUU
rnacentral:lncRNA from 1 species